GGACUAAUAUCCUUCUUCUUCCUUGGCUUCCUGUUUUUUCUUGAACUUUAUUCCAUGCUUUGGCAUAUGAGCACCUAGACCAAUGCAUACCUUUAUUCUCUGGUCUCCUCUCUCUUAUCUCUAAGUGGACGCUGCCUUGCCUUGUGAAUAGUGUGUGGUGAUUUCAUAAUGAGCCCCAAGGCAUCCAUAAGAAAGGUGGAAGACAAAAAGCGAGAAGUAAAAGGGAGGAGGAUUUCAUGCUUAACAUAUGGAGCUAUAGCAUACCAUCUGCUUGCUUAUUUGCCUUUUAAUGCUCUUUUUAGUCUGAGGGUCUUAAUUCUAUCAUCAUCUCCAGCAAAGAUUUUUAAGAUAAACUACUAUGUAGAGAGUUCUGCCUGAUGUAUAUUUUAAGGGUUCUGCUGCUGAGAGAGCCAGAGAGAACACUGCCUUCAUUUCUUAAAUUCCUACAAGUAAUAUGCAUCGCCUUUUCUUACCAUCCACACAUUUGUUAUAGGAGCAUCACAUCAUCCUUAAUCUGGGGAUUUUGAUAUCUUCUAAGGAUUUUAAAAAUUUGAUCUAUUAGUAUGUUACAUACAACUGUGCCAAGAUGUAAAGAAAAUAUAAAACAUUUCCUGAAGUUUGAUUUCAUAAAACAAAUAUUUAAUAUUAUAAAAAGUUUACUCGUAUUCUCCAACCACCACCAUCUUGUGAAGCAGUCAGUUGCCAGAGAAAUUGGUACAUUAAAUUAACAUAUCAAGUACAAAAAGAUAUUCUGAAUUAAUAAUCUGUUGGGAAUGAAAAUAAGUCAUACGGUAUUUAAAAUUAUAAAGUAAUUUUAGAAAAGGGUAUGAUUUGUGAAAAUACAGUCAAUACCCUUUUUCUCCAAGAAUGCAUUAUAUAAAGUAAGGGGUAACAUAUGUGUCUUAGUCCAUUUCGACUGCUAUAAGAAAAUGCUAUAAACUGGGUCAUUUAUCCACUGUUUUCUUUAUUUCACUUUAACCUCAUAUGAUGUAAUGGGCAAAGAGGGUCUCUGAGGACUCUUUUAGAGUGUUAAUCCCAUCUUGUGAGGGCUGUACCUUUAUGAUUUAAUUGCCACCUAGUGGCCUCACUUCCUAAUACCAUCACCCUGAGGGUUAGAAUUCAACCUAUGAAUUGAGAGCGGGGUGUAGGGACAGGACACAAACACUCAGGCCAUAGCAGUACGUAUCGAGCAAACAUUUUUUAAUCGAGUGUUCAAUAUAAGGUACUGUGCUGUGUGGCUAGGAAUACAAAUGAAUAAAAUGUGGUCCUUGCCCUUCUUGAGUUGAAGUGUAUUGAAGAAGAAAAAUGUAGAAAUAAUGAUGAAAUAUAUAUAACAUUAAUAACACCCAAAGGAAAUCACAAGUGAAGCUGCAUGGGAGUUUUACCAAUUAGGAAUUCAGGAAAGACUUCAGGCAGGAGCUGCUUUUCAGUAACUAUGAACUUGACAUUUGUAACUUCAAAAGAUUCAUGUACUUCUUGCUUAAUUUUAGUUCUUUAAAACUUUAUAGAAAAUAGUUUUUUAACAUGAAACAGUGCUACCUGAACCCUUCAAGUUGAGAAGGAUAAUUUAUAUCCUGGAGUACUUUUUAAAAUUAAAAUAAUAUGUUUGAGGUUUACAGAAAAAUUAAGCAGUAAGUACAGAAAGUUCAUAUAUAUCCUACCUUCUAAAAAUAAUCAGUUUCUUUUGUUACUAACAUCUUGCAUUAGUACACUACAUUUGUCACAACUGAUACAACAAUUACGAAAAAAUACAUUAUUCUUAUUAACAAAGUUUGUAUUUUACGUUAGGAUUCAUUCGUGUUGUAGUUUAUAUGGGUUCAGGGAAAUACAUAAUAUCACAUGUUCACCAUUAAAGUAUUGUACAGAAUAGUUUUCACCAUCCUAAAAAUUCCAUGUGUUCCACCUAUUCAUCUCUUUCUUCACUCUCCCAUACCCUGACAACCAGUGAUUAUUUUACCGUCUCUGAAGUUUUGCCUUUUUCAGACUGUCAUAUAAUUAGAAUCAUAUCACAUGUCACCCAUUCAGACUGGCUGUUUUAACUCAGCAAUAUGCAUUUCACAGUCAUUCAUGUCUUUUUGUGACUUGAGAGUUUAUUUCCUUUUAUUACUGAAAAUAUUCCAUUGUAUGGAUGUACCAUGGUGUGCUAAGCCAUCCACCUGUUGUAAGAUAUCUUGGUUGCUUCCAGAUACUGGCAUUUGUAAAUAAACUGCAAUAAACUUUA